rnacentral:rRNA from 1 species
AGUGAACGCUGGCGGUAGGCCUAACACAUGCAAGUCGAACGGCAGCACAGUAAGAGCUUGCUCUUACGGGUGGCGAGUGGCGGACGGGUGAGGAAUACAUCGGAAUCUACUUUUUCGUGGGGGAUAACGUAGGGAAACUUACGCUAAUACCGCAUACGACCUACGGGUGAAAGCAGGGGAUCUUCGGACCUUGCGCGAUUGAAUGAGCCGAUGUCGGAUUAGCUAGUUGGCGGGGUAAAGGCCCACCAAGGCGACGAUCCGGAGCUGGUCUGAGAGGAUGUUCAGCCACACUGGAACUGAGACACGGUCCAGACUCCUACGGUAGGCAGCAGUGGGGAAUAUUGGACAAUGGGCGCAAGCCUGAUCCAGCCAUACCGCGUGGGUGAAGAAGGCCUUCGGGUUGUAAAGCCCUUUUGUUGGGAAAGAAAAGCAGCAGGUUAAUACCCCGCUGUUCUGACGGUACCCAAAGAAUAAGCACCGGCUAACUUCGUG